CUACACAUGCAGUCGAGCGGACAGAAGGGAGCUUGCUCCCGGAUGUUAGCGGCGGACGGGUGAGUAACACGUGGGUAACCUGCCUGUAAGACUGGGAUAACUCCGGGAAACCGGAGCUAAUACCGGAUAGUUCCUUGAACCGCAUGGUUCAAGGAUGAAAGACGGUUUCGGCUGUCACUUACAGAUGGACCCGCGGCGCAUUAGCUAGUUGGUGAGGUAACGGCUCACCAAGGCGACGAUGCGUAGCCGACCUGAGAGGGUGAUCGGCCACACUGGGACUGAGACACGGCCCAGACUCCUACGGGAGGCAGCAGUAGGGAAUCUUCCGCAAUGGACGAAAGUCUGACGGAGCAACGCCGCGUGAGUGAUGAAGGUUUUCGGAUCGUAAAGCUCUGUUGUUAGGGAAGAACAAGUGCAAGAGUAACUGCUUGCACCUUGACGGUACCUAACCAGAAAGCCACGGCUAACUACGUGCCAGCAGCCGCGGUAAUACGUAGGUGGCAAGCGUUGUCCGGAAUUAUUGGGCGUAAAGGGCUCGCAGGCGGUUUCUUAAGUCUGAUGUGAAAGCCCCCGGCUCAACCGGGGAGGGUCAUUGGAAACUGGGAAACUUGAGUGCAGAAGAGGAGAGUGGAAUUCCACGUGUAGCGGUGAAAUGCGUAGAGAUGUGGAGGAACACCAGUGGCGAAGGCGACUCUCUGGUCUGUAACUGACGCUGAGGAGCGAAAGCGUGGGGAGCGAACAGGAUUAGUAUUUUUGUUU
rnacentral:rRNA from 1 species